rnacentral:rRNA from 1 species
UUAUCUUAUUAUUAUUAAAGGGGCAACCAACAUAGAUAGGGGGCUAGCUUGCUUCCCACUGGCGGCGGGCGGGCGAAGGGUCGCCGUAGGUGAGGUAGCCGGGGGCGAGUCACAAAAUCCAAGAGUUCCCUUCUUGUUCAUCAAUCGGAAUCAAGACAAACCGGGCACUACGGUGA